rnacentral:piRNA from 1 species
CCUGCCGGACACUGUGAUAAUAACCAAGA